AGGAAGGAGGUGAAAUGCAUGCUACAAGAGAGAGGCUGCUCAUGUCUGAAAGGAUGACUGAUAAACUACAGUGCUCUUCAGACUUCUUUGUGCAGCAAAAUAUGGGAGAGCAGAGCAAAGGAGUGAAUCCCUUCAUGGAAGAAGCACAACACAGCCAGACCAGCCCUGCUUCACUUUCUGAAUGAUUCAGACAGGAAAAGCAGAAACCUGUGGCUGCAGAGGAGUUUUAUCUUCCAUGGCAGUGGGAAGAGCUGGCACUUCCCAGGCUGGCUGGGGGAAUGGCAGUCUUUUGUCCUGGGCCAUUUCAGCUCCCUGGUCACACAGCUCACAUUUUCCUGGGCUUCCAGGGGCUCUUAGGAAAGGGGUACCCAAUGAGAAGGGGGGCAGCCACCCUGCUGUGCCUCCUAGGAGAAGGGCAAGGGCUGAUUUUGGGAAAGGACAGUCCACGGGGAAGAAAAUGAGGGAGGUGAAGGGAGACUUGCCAAGGAAAGAGUUAAGAGAGGCAGGGAGCAGCUGGGCUGUGUCUGUUUGCUGUAGCUGUGUGGGCUGCAGGGUAGAAAAGAACAACCUCCAGCCUGGAGGAGGCAGAUGAGGGAGUGUCUUCAAGAACGGUGGAUGUGGAUGAGGGAGGCAGGAGGUCUUCUCUCUGCUCCCAGGAGCUGUCACUGCAUGGGAACUCUCUGUGUCCCCAAAAGGUUUGGUGACAAAGCAGUGACGAGCCGGUGGGUUUGGCAACAGCUGCUUGGUGCUUCUGGCUCUUCUUGUGCAGAAGGCUCUGUCUGCUGCUGAGCUGGUCUUGGGCUGCCUCCUGCUGAAGAAGUGACUGGACCCUGGAGGAAGAUAACCACAUUAUCUCCUGACAGGAUGGCACAGGCCACACGUGUGACACAGAUGCUGUCCCCACCCAUGUGAGCUCCCUGUGAUGGAUGCCCACCCCAGAGCCCCAGCUCAGAGCUCUCCCACCACGCUGCCCAAGCUGUAGCACAGGUGUGGAUGACCUCUCAGGGCCAACCCAGCAGGGCUCUGCAGGCUACAGGGUCUCAGAUGCUGGCAGGCACACCUGGACAGCCCACGGUCACUGCCCAGGGCUGGGGCUACCCCUGCUUUGCAGUGCUGGGCUGGGGCUGCUGUGAAAGCCACUGCUGGGCAGAAAGCCACUGCUGGAAAGCCACAGGAGGGGAUUCAGGAGCUGCAGCGCUGGAGUUGAAGGUGGUGAAGUUUUGGCAGAGACAGGAUGGAGCUGGUGUGGCUGUACAUGAUGCUGAUCCACGUGCAGCACGUCGCUGCCGUGACCUGGCUGUUUCCAGCUCUGAUAACCCGUGUUAUGGGACUGCCUUCUCUCAGGCCUUCGUGGGCAGCCCUGAGAGGAGCCGCGGUGUCUCCUCCAGCCGAGCGCUCAUGGACCUGCACAACAAUGAGGCUGGGGGAAGGCCGUGGUGAUCACUGACGAGAGGCAAUUUCCCUCCAGCACUGCGUAGCACAGGACCAGCACUGCCUCAUCGUUCCGCAGGGCUAGAAGGCUGACAGAGAAAGGGAAGGAGGGAGUCAUUCCUUGCCACAAACUGAAGAGAUGCAUCUUUAGUUAGAAACUGAAAACAACCCCAAAACAAAGUAAGAAAAUCCCUUCCCAAAGAAACCUUGGGCUCCUGGCUAAACUGCACAGAGGAGUGGGGCUCUCUGCAGGGUCUGCACGUGCCUGUGUGACACAGAGGCUGCAGGGGGGUUGCUGUGCAUUUGAGGGCAUGUGAGAGGCAUUGGAUGAGGGGCACAGUUCAAAGAGCUUUCCCAGGGCCCCUGCAGCAGCUGCUGCGUAAUUUCAUCCAUCUGAGUGCACAGUGAGGAGAUGUUUGUUAGAUGUCUGCUGAGUGUUGAACGUUGGGCAGCCCCACUUGGGUCUGGGGAUGUCACAUAUUAAGCUUCCCUCCCAAGUACUUGACAGAAAGGGGGAAAACCUUGUUAACCAUGAAUUUACUGUUUAUCCAAACUGACAUGGGUAGCUAAAAGUAGAGAAUGUAAGGACAAUGGGAUCAGAGCAAUGAGAAUAUUUGGCAUCUCUUAGGAGCAAUGGAAUUUGUAAACAUGGUACAGAACUGUUAGCAGACAGGGAUGGUUGGUUUCAAUCAUCAUCAAUGAUGCAGAAGAGGUAAACAUGCUCAUUAGAUAUUUGCCUCUUGUGUCUGGAGACAAAGCCAGUGAUAAAUAAACAAACUUUGAUCUGACA
rnacentral:lncRNA from 1 species